ACGUCCACACCUUACCUCCCCAGGUCCCCCCCCUGGCCUCUACCCUGGACUUCAUCUGGGCAUCAUGUCAGUUGGAAGUUGCGGCUCUGUACUGGCCGGUGGAGUGCCGUCACGAGGGCCUUAUUGAGCAUCAGGCACUACCCAACCAGCACUACCCUUCAGUGAGUGAGUUCAGCUGUCCGCAGAGCUGGCGGGUCUGGUCUGGUCUGGUCUGGUGCCGUGCGACUGGAGGGACGUGGAGUGGAGAGGAGGUUGGGGUGGCGGGACGCCCGAGGAAGGAGGCGAGGGAGAAGCGGUGGCGAGGUGUGACGGCCUUCCGCCGCCUUCGUCCACAUCGCUCGGGAGGAUAAGGAGAAGGCAAAUUUUGACUUAGUCAAGGACGGGACUUCAACCCCUGGCCUGGACGGCCCCGGACGGUGCUGCUGAGACCCCUACGGAGAAAUCACAUAUGUGCGAGAACGAGGUCUAAUUCCUUAAUCCAGUCCUCACGCUUUACCCCCUUUCGCAUUAUCUCUAUACUUCUUCUCCUACAGUGUUGGUCUUGUCUUGGAGUAUCCGUCCAUGGUUUUUUCUUUUCGUCAAUCGUCUGUGCUUCAUCGUACCUACCCCCUUCGGCCCCGUCCUGCACACACGCCCUCUCUCCCCCCCCGUCGCCCACUAGGACCAUUUGCCGAUUGGUGCCGUGCUACGGCUGAAGCAUUUCUACGUGCCAUCGUAUGGCGACGUGCACCCGCUGCUGCCGCCGCCGUCAGGGGCCCAGCCCGAUGCGACUCAGGAAUACAGCAGCGGCCCAGAGAGUGACGUGUCUGAGCUGGGGCUGCGGCUGGGGCUGCGGCUGGCGGGACAUGGGGCAGCAGGGUCCGAUCUCACGGCGCCGGGGCAAUCCAACCAAAACCGCCCCGGACCUGCGCGCCUGAGCAAAGCCACCUAGGACCCGGAGGGCGAGGAGGAUCACCGCGAGGGAUUCAUGAGCCGCGGCACGGUCCAGCACAUUCACACAUAUGCAGACCACUGCAUGUCGCCAAUAUGACAUCAUCUCGUUCCACACAUGAGAUGAGGCGCGCUUCCAGGUAGCUUAAUUUUUCCUUGUUCGGUCCUUUUGGUGGUCCUUGCCCUUUUGGUGGUUCUUGGGGUACCUGAACGCGUGCAGGGGGGGGAGGUGCAGAGGGAGGAAGGAAGGGUGGUUAAGGUUAAGAAGAGGAAGGGUUUUCAAGGGGAAGGGAGGUGGGGGGGGUCUGGGGGGAGAAGAAGGUUAUGGCCGGCUCAGACAAGACGAGACUAGGGAAAGGAGGGUAGGGGCAUUGGUAGUUCGUGGUAAAAGUGUUCAGGUGAAGGAUGGUGGAUACGGCGCGAGCGAGGCGCUGCAGCGUGGCUCCUGCAAUCAGUAAGAAUUUGGAGGUGCAUGAGGGCUGCCACAGGUGUGUGAAGAAAGCCGGCGAAUCGAACAUUGGUCCAGACGUGUGAGCUGCUGAGCUGGUGAGGUCUGUUGGGAAGAGAGAAGAGCGUUAGAAGGCAGAGCAGGUGGCGAGGGUGGUUUUGAGCGUCCGGCAUCAGGGAUAAGGAACGACAUUGUAGUGUGGUAUGGUGUGUGCGAGUGUCAUUAGCGCGGGAGGCUGGGGGGAAUGAGCAGGGGGUGAAGGACAGGGAUGUUUCCAAUUUAUAUCUUUUUGGUUAUCCGUUUCCCUGAGUGUGACGCCAAACUGAGCUCAAAGCAGGUGAGAUCGGCCUUGGUUAGGCGUUCGGCAGGUGAGAUCGGCCUUGGUUAGGCGUUCGGUGUGGAUUUCGACAUCAAGGUCCCUUCACUUUGACACGAUUAAGCACGGUUAACUGGUUCUUCAGGGUCUAGCAGGAGCACAAAAUCCUCCAUGUGUCCCAGCCCGUUAUAUUUUACACAUUCCAAAGUUGCCGGGAACCUCGCGGACCUCGGGAACCUCGAAAAACUCGAAAACCUCGGGAACCUCGAAAACCUCGGGAACCUCGAAAACCUCGGGAACCUCGCGGACCUCGAAAACCUCGGAACCCUCGCGGACCUCGGGAACCUCGGAAACCUCGAGAACCUUG
rnacentral:lncRNA from 1 species